CUGCAGCGCACUGCCUCAUCUGCUCUCGCUGUUGUGUUGCCUGGUCGCGCUAAGCCAAGCCAGCAAAAAGCAACACACCGCGACAGACCACCGCCGUCUUUCGCCGAUCGCCGGCCUGCCUACGCAAGCUGCUCCCGACGGCUACACCCCCUCACCCCGACGCAGGAACACUGCCGUUCGACGAGGAGGAGAUAGAGUUCCUGUAUGAGUACACCGCCGUCGCGGACGUGGUGGUUGCGCUCGCUGGCACCGCCGGUCUCCAGGCCCGCGUCCUUUCCCUCUGCGGCCGCCUCCGAGAGGGAGCAGCGAGCUAGAGAGGACUCUGUCCGAGGCUGAAGCCUACGCCUCCAAGGGAGUUCUAAUUAUGCAUUAUACGGGAGCCAUGGCAUGCUUGCGCUGGGCCGUUGGUGCUUCACCAAGGUGAAAGAAUUUACCACUUCCACAAGGUCAUACGGAACAGGGGUACCUUCAGAAGAGGGCGGAUCCUUAGCCUUGCGAUGCUUGAGAGGACUAGGAAGAAGCACUGUGCCCAUAUUAGGAAUCUGAAGGAGGGAGAUUCCAAUACAAAGUUUUUCCAUAUGAAGAUUAAUGGGCGGCAAAUGAAUGUUUUCAUCUAUAAAUUGAAUAAUGGUGUAGGUUGGAUCACCAAGCAUGAGGAAAAGGAGCAUAUUAUAAAACAACAUUUUACCACUUUCAUGAGAAUAGGUAGGCUAGUGCGGAAUAUAAAGUUGGCCUAAGUAAUUACUACGAUGAGUACAAAAUGUGUUCACAAGUAUAUGAGUUAAACAAACACAAUAGGA